rnacentral:rRNA from 1 species
AUUGAACGCUGGCGGCAUGCCUUACACAUGCAAGUCGAACGGCAGCGGACCUUCGGGUGCCGGCGAGUGGCGAACGGGUGAGUAAUGCAUCGGAACGUACCUUUCAGUAGGGGAUAACGUAGCGAAAGUUACGCUAAUACCGCAUAUUCUGUGAGCAGGAAAGCAGGGGAUCGCAAGACCUUGCGCUGAUUGAGCGGCCGAUGUCAGAUUAGCUAGUUGGUGAGGUAAAGGCUCACCAAGGCGACGAUCUGUAGCGGGUCUGAGAGGAUGAUCCGCCACACUGGAACUGAGACACGGUCCAGACUCCUACGGGAGGCAGCAGUGGGGAAUUUUGGACAAUGGGGGCAACCCUGAUCCAGCCAUGCCGCGUGAGUGAAGAAGGCCUUCGGGUUGUAAAGCUCUUUCGGCCGGGAAGAAAUCGCACGGGCUAAUACCCUGUGUGGAUGACGGUACCGGAAUAAGAAGCACCGGCUAACUACGUGCCAGCAGCCGCGGUAA